rnacentral:lncRNA from 1 species
AAUUCUGUACUUCCUCUUGGAAAAUGAAGUAGAGAAUCCCUCUAUAACCUUUUCUUUUAUCAAUUUAGGAAAUAUUAAAUUCCUACCUACACCAUCACUGUUUGAAACACAUGUCAUUGCCUUCUCAUCAUCAUUGUCGCUAAUGAGAAAAACAAUUAAAGGCAUACUAUGCCAGGUACUGUGUCUAAGUUAUUCUUGGUGGAAAUUGCAUUGCAUGUAUAAUAAAGUCAUCAACCCCUUCUACAAAAUCCUCCCGCAAUCCUAAAUUUCAAUUCAUAUCCACAAAAGUUCAAUUCAUACACACAAAAGUUCAAGUCAUAUCCUAAAAUUUCAAUUUAUAAACUAAAAUUCCAAUACAUAAACCAAAAAUUUCAAUUCAUAUCCUAAAGGUUCAAUUCAUAUCCUAAAGGUUCAACGCAUCUCCACAAAAGUUCAAGUCAUAUCCUAAAAUUUCAAUUUAUAAACUAAAAUUCCAAUACAUAAACUAAAAGUCCAAUUCAUAUCCUAAAGGUUCAAUUCAUAUCCUAAAGGUUCAACUCAUAUCCACAAAAGUUCAAGUCAUAUCCUAAAAUUUCAAUUUAUAAACUAAAAUUCCAAUACAUAAACUAAUAUCCUAAAGGUUCAACUCAUAUCCACAAAAG